UUCCCCAAUUCAUACCUUUCACUGAGCUGAAAGCACGGCCUGUAGCACAUGCCCGCAGUGCUCAUCGUCAGGUCACUGUCACUUUUUAAUGAAGCAAAUAGCUUUUAAUUAAAAAUCUGCUUUUUCUGCUCAUAGCAAGUGUUAGGACCAGACCUGCAGCCAGCCUGGGAGAAAAGAAAGGCAUCAGUUCUCAGCUACACACCUCAAACUUUUAAGGGGAAUAAAAUGUUGAGGAGGAUAUUCAGAGAAAUAAAUAAAACACUUCUCUGGAUUUCCCUCCUCACCCUCCCCUAAGGUUCCAAGCAGUGGAGUAACACCUUUAGAUCCAGUUUGCUACUGCUUUAUCUUCCCAGCCCUUCCACCCAUCCCAUAGUACUGCACAGCUCAGGUGCUUUUAGCUUCAAGGCAGUUCCCUCCUGCCUUUGGAAUGAACAUAAAGGAUCUUGCUCUAUUCUGCAGUGGCAUUUUUUAGUCCCUGCCAGGAAAACACGCCCAUGAAAGAUUUUCUGCACUUAAAAACCAUUCUGGAAAAAGUUCUGGAAGUGCUAAUUGACAAAUAUUUAAUAAAAAUUAAUUAAUGAGAAUUAACCAGAAAAAUCUUGGCCUUUCUUUUUAGGCUGUAUUGUCCUCCUGCACACUGUGACCUUCCGACAUGCACCAAGGUGCACCUUUGUCCUUGUGUCUCCAGCCUGGCCAAAGCUGCAUGUCCCCAGCUUGAGGAUGGAACUGCAGAGGCUGCUUUGGGUCCUUUGGAUUGUGGAGGCCACGUGGGACCACGGGCUCCCUGUCAGCUCGGGUACAGUUGUUCAUGCUGUCUUGGUCUAACAUUCUUUUGAACUCUGUAACAAACUACUUGGCCCCAGUCCUGCAGUGAGCCUGCACCUGCCCUUCUCUGGAAAGUUAUCAGAGAAAAUAGUUUAAUAAUUGUUUAAUUUAACGUAAGCUGCCCUGUAGGAAGGGAAAAGGACACUGGCAAGAAGGUGACAGACUACAGCGUGUUCAUAGCGAAGGUGCCAGGACACAGACUAGAACUGGAAUGUACAAACCUGUUACAGUUCUGGAGCUGGUUUUCUGCUACAUCUCUGGGAAUAGCUUAGAAAUUUUACUGUUUGUAUGUUGAAAUUUCCCUAAGGUCACGUUCAAUCUUGCAAAUAUGACCCGGGGUUGUCUGGCCAACCAGUAUGGGUGAAGGGUAUUGGAAAUUCAAGCUGCUCAUUGUAUCUGUAUUUUGUACCCUGCUUAAACUUGGAAGGCUGAGACGGUGCUUCUGUUUGGUUCCUCCUCUCUUCCUCCCUCCCUCGCCCCCAAUUACCUGAAAUAGCGACGUGAGCCCUGUCCUGCCGUCUCUGAGGAAGGUAGAUGAUUCAGAAGGGGAUCCAGACUCCAGGCAGCUCCUUGUUCCUGGUGGGGGGACAGACCAAGGAUGUGGUUCACAUCUGUGCUGCCCAGGAAGAGUGUGUAUUUAAUCAUGUAUUGCAUUUCUCACCUGUGUGUAUUUAAUUGUGACAGCCCAGAACAGCUGCUCUAUUCCUUUAGUCUGUUGGGAACUCGCAUGAAGAGACUGUGAGCUUUAUAUGUGAUAUAAAAUACAUGAAAUCUAAGGCAGGUGAGAGGAGUAACUCCUCACUGCUGUGUGUUUCCUAAGAAAGAAUUCCAGUUAGGGAUCCCCCUGCUUCCUUCCCAGGAGUCUGCCUCGUAACCAGCUUCAUGUAUACGUGGAGCGCUGUGGGGCAAACCCCACAAUGGCCUUGAAAAGGGUGGCUGUGACUCACCUCCUCCCCCUCCUCUUUCUCAUUUAGACAUGAGCUGAUCCUCCCAUCUCGGUGCCCCAGCUCUGCAGUGUUGGCUUCACCUGUAACCAGAGCCUUUCCUCCGAGAGAAGCCCGACCCUCCCCACACCCCACCAGGUUAGUGCUGUCUGGGGGUGACUCGCAGCAAGAGCUCCCUGUUUAAUGCUGCAAAACUUGUUUGUGUUUUGCACUUUCAGCAGUUCUCUUCUGGAGCAGCCCUGAGGAGCACAUGCAUCACAGCCAGCAUUCACAGCAGCAGCAGCAGGGCUCUCCGAGGAACACUCAAUUACAUGGUGCUGUUCCCUAUAUUCCCUGCAGAAGGUCCACAAGGGAUUUGGUGAAUCUAGGCCGUAGGCUCUUCAGGUGUGUCCUCUGUCAGCUGAGGUGCUCAGUGCUAUUCUUCCCCUCGGGUCAACCACGGUGCAUGCACAGGGGCAGUUUCACUCUGCUCUGGAGAAGAGAAGCUGCAAUCAUUUCAAGGUGUGACAUUGAGAGGGAGCAGUCGGAGUGGAGGUGGUGCGGUAAAGCAGAGCUCAGGGAAGCAGCUAGAUGAGGCGAGGGGAAGCAGUGCAGCAGGCAGGGCCCAAGUGUGACGCUGCACUGGGUUGCUGGGGAUUGGAGCUGGACCUCGGCAUGUGGGGUCAUUGCAGGUAAGCACUGAACAGUAACUCUGUGUUCCUCAAGUCCUCCCUUCCUUGCAGCAAGCAGCCCCUACAGCUCCUGUUCCUGCCGAGUGGCUGCAAGGAGAGGUAAAACAACAUCACUUCCUCCUACACAAUCACAGAAACAAGCUGUCGGCAAUCAUCAAAGUGGUGAUAGGGGCUGGAAACAGGAUAGCAAACAUCUCACUCCUAGAAGCCCACCAUGAUUUCCCAUACAUUCAGAGACAUUAGAAUGGUUUUCCAGCAGAAAUACUCCUGUUGAAUGCACUGCCUGGCUCUGUUCCUGUUCCUCCUUAGGUUUGUGAGAGCAGCAAAGGGAAAUGCAAGACCUGAAGACUGCCCUAACAUGCAGUUGCCCUCUAGCGACCCACAAAGGUAUUAUUUGUGUGGCUGGGACGUCUGCCCUCGUAAACACCCGCUGCACCCAAAGCAUCAUCGAGCUGGUGCGUGAAGGUCCUGGUGGUUUAUGCUCCUGCGUCUUGUGACUGGAAGAAAAUACUAUCAAUGAAUUCACAUUAGCAUUAAGAAAAGAGAGGGUGGGGACUGGUGGUCCUUUAAAAACGGGUUUUAUUCGUCUUCUCUGUUCUCUUAUGUGCAAUAGAAUCCUGCUGGUUUUCUGUCCACACAAAUCUAAAUAAAGGCACCAUAGGAAAAUAA